rnacentral:rRNA from 1 species
UAGGGAAUAUUGGACAAUGGGUGAGAGCCUGAUCCAGCCAUGCCGCGUGCAGGAAGAAGGCGUUAUGCGUUGUAAACUGCUUUUGCCAGGGGAUAAAAUGACCGUGCGCGGUUAAUUGAAGGUACCUGGUGAAUAAGCCACGGCUAACUACGUGCCAGCAGCCGCGGUAAUACGUAGGUGGCAAGCGUUGUCCGGAUUUAUUGGGUUUAAAGGGUGCGUAGGUGGCCCUGUAAGUCAGUGGUGAAAUAUCUCAGCUUAACUGAGAGGGUGCCAUUGAUACUGCAGGGCUUGAGUACAGAUGAGGUAGGCGGAAUUGACGGUGUAGCGGUGAAAUGCAUAGAUAUCGGAAGGAACAUCAGUUGCGAAGGCGGCUCUCUGGACUCAAACUGACGCUGAGGCACGAAAGCGUGGGUAGCGAACAGGAUUAGAUACCCCAGUAGUCCCUGAGCGGGCUGGCAAGGCGCAU